rnacentral:rRNA from 1 species
AACGAACGCUGGCGGCAGGCUUAACACAUGCAAGUCGAACGGGUGUAGCAAUACAUCAGUGGCAGACGGGUGAGUAACACGUGGGAACCUUCCUAGGGGUACGGAACAACUCAGGGAAACUUGAGCUAAUACCGUAUACGUCUGUGAGGAGAAAGAUUUAUAGCCCUUAGACGGGCCCGCGUCGGAUUAGGUAGUUGGUGGGGUAACGGCCUACCAAGCCUACGAUCCGUAGCUGAGCUUAGAGGAUGAUCAGCCACACUGGGACUGAGACACGGCCCAGACUCCUACGGGAGGCAGCAGUGGGGAAUCUUGGACAAUGGGCGCAGGCCUGAUCCAGCCAUGCCGCGUGAGUGAAGAAGGCCUUAGGGUUGUAAAGCUCUUUUACCAGGGACGAUAAUGACGGUACCUGGAGAAUAAGCCCCGGCAAACUUCGUGCCAGCCGCCGCAGUAACAC